rnacentral:rRNA from 1 species
GAGUUGACCUCGAAUCAGGUAGGAAUACCCGCUGAACUAA